GACGAACGCUGGCGGCGUGCUUAACACAUGCAAGUCGAACGGAAAGGCCCUGCUUUUGUGGGGUGCUCGAGUGGCGAACGGGUGAGUAACACGUGAGUAACCUGCCCUUGACUUUGGGAUAACUUCAGGAAACUGGGGCUAAUAACGGAUAGGAGCUCCUGCUGCAUGGUGGGGGUUGGAAAGUUUCGGCGGUUGGGGAUGGACUCGCGGCUUAUCAGCUUGUUGGUGGGGUAGUGGCUUACCAAGGCUUUGACGGGUAGCCGGCCUGAGAGGGUGACCGGCCACAUUGGGACUGAGAUACGGCCCAGACUCCUACGGGAGGCAGCAGUGGGGAAUAGUGCACAAUAGGCGGGAGCCUGAUGCAGCAACGCCGCGUGCGGGAUGACGGCCUUCGGGUUGUAAACCGCUUUCGCCUGUGACGAAGCGUGAGUGACGGUAAUGGGUAAAGAAGCACCGGCUAACUACGUG
rnacentral:rRNA from 1 species